GAACAGCAGAGCAUGAGCAGCAUGUGAGGUUUACAGAGUAAAUUUGUGCCCAAAAAAAAUGAAGCACAGAG